rnacentral:rRNA from 1 species
AUUGAACGCUGGCGGCAUGCCUUACACAUGCAAGUCGAACGGUAACGGGCCUUCGGGUGCCGACGAGUGGCGAACGGGUGAGUAAUAUAUCGGAACGUACCUUUCAGUGGGGGAUAACGUAGCGAAAGUUACGCUAAUACCGCAUAUUCUGUGAGCAGGAAAGCAGGGGAUCGCAAGACCUUGCGCUGAUUGAGCGGCCGAUAUCAGAUUAGCUAGUUGGUGAGGUAAAGGCUCACCAAGGCGACGAUCUGAAGCGGGUCUGAGAGGAUGAUCCGCCACACUGGAACUGAGACACGGUCCAGACUCCUACGGGAGGCAGCAGUGGGGAAUUUUGGACAAUGGGGGCAACCCUGAUCCAGCCAUGCCGCGUGAGUGAAGAAGGCCUUCGGGUUGUAAAGCUCUUUCGGCCGGGAAGAAAUCGCAUGGGUUAAUACCCUGUGCGGAUGACGGUACCGGCAUAAGAAGCACCGGCUAACUACGUGCCAGCCGCCGCGGUAAAAC